CAAUAGCGUAUAUUAAAGUUGUUGCAGUUAGAACGCUCGUAGUCGGAUUUCGGGGCGGGGCGACCGGUCUGCCGAUGGGUACGCACUGGUCGGCGCGUCCUUCCUUCCGGAGACCGUGCCUACUCUUAACUGAGCGGGGGCGGGAGACGGAUCGUUUACUUUGAAAAAAUCAGAGUGUUUCAAGCAGGCAGCUCGCUCUUGCAUGGAUUAGCAUGGGAUAAUGAAAUAGGACUUUGGUGCUAUUUUGUUGGUUUCGAACACCGAAGUAAUGAUUAACAGGGACAGUCAGGGGCACUCGUAUUCCGCCGAGAGAGGUGAAAUUCUCAGACCAGCGGAAGACGAACUACUGCGAAAGCAUUUGCCAGGGAUGUUUUCACUGA
rnacentral:rRNA from 1 species